rnacentral:rRNA from 1 species
GAUGAACGCUGGCGGCGUGCCUAAUACAUGCAAGUCGAGCGAACAGAUGAGGAGCUUGCUCCUCUGACGUUAGCGGCGGACGGGUGAGUAACACGUGGAUAACCUACCUAUAAGACUGGGAUAACUUCGGGAAACCGGAGCUAAUACCGGAUAAUAUAUUGAACCGCAUGGUUCAAUAGUGAAAGACGGUUUUGCUGUCACUUAUAGAUGGAUCCGCGCUGCAUUAGCUAGUUGGUAAGGUAACGGCUUACCAAGGCAACGAUGCGUAGCCGACCUGAGAGGGUGAGCGGCCACACUGGAACGGAGAGACGGUCCAGACUCCUACGGGAGGCAGCAGUAGGGAAUCUUCCGCAAUGGGCGAAAGCGUGACGGAGCAACGCCGCGUGAGUGAUGAAGGUCUUCGGAUCGUAAAACUCUGUUAUUAGGGAAGAACAUAUGGGUAAGUAACUCUGCACGUCUUGACGGUACCUAAUCAGAAAGCCACGGCUAACUACGGG